rnacentral:tRNA from 1 species
AAGACUGUAGUGUAAUUUACAAGCACCAUUGAUUUUCAUUCAAUAAGUAUAUAUUUUAUAUCUUUCUUA